UUAGACCUCAGAUCAGGCAGGAUUACCCGCUGAACUUAAGCAUAUCAAUAAGCGGAGGAAAAGAAACUAACAAGGAUUCCCCUAGUAACGGCGAGUGAAGCGGGAAGAGCUCAAAUUUGUAAUCUGGCACCUUCGGUGUCCGAGUUGUAAUCUCGAGAAGUGUUUUCCGCGCCGGACCGCAUACAAGUCUGUUGGAAUACAGCGUCAUAGUGGUGAGAACCCCGUAACUGAUGCGGAUGCCCGGUGCUUUGUGAUACACUUUCGAAGAGUCGAGUUGUUUGGGAAUGCAGCUCAAAUUGGGUGGUAAAUUCCAUCUAAAGCUAAAUAUUGGCGAGAGACCGAUAGCGAACAAGUACCGUGAGGGAAAGAUGAAAAGCACUUUGGAAAGAGAGUUAACAGUACGUGAAAUUGUUGGAAGGGAAACGCUUGAAGUCAGACUUGCUAUUUGGAAUUCAGCCGCAAGGUGUACUUUUCAAUUCGCAGGCCAGCAUCAGUUUUCGGGGGUGGAAAAGGGUAGAGAGAAGGUAGCAAUUUCGGUUGUGUUAUAGCUCUUUGCUGGAUUCAU
rnacentral:rRNA from 1 species